GCCGGGCACCAGUCGUCUAUGUGCAACCUCCAUUGAACUACGCGUAUAUGUUAGUGGAUGUUGGCCGAGCUCCACGAGAAGCGGGUCCGGGAUUCUCGUGGAUGGGAGAGUGCAGCCAAACAGCCCUUCCUAGACCAGACGCUCACGAGUGAGGACGUGUUGAACUGUUGUGCACAUUAAAGAAGCCGGGAAACGUAUCGCAUCGAUGGAUUCAGAUCUAAUAACGGUCGAGGAAGUGGAGUCUUCCUUUGAUGAGGAGUUGCUGUUAGAGCCAGAAGAUGAUGGUUUCACCUGUGGUCGCACCUGAUUUCUUUUUUCUUCUUUUUUAUGUUUGACUUGUUUUCUAAUUUUGGGAGGUCCCCGCUGUUGAGCUACGCCAUUUUUUUUUAUGUAAUCCCAAAAUUGCUGAAAUAUCCAUUAUAUAAAUUCAAAAACAAAUGUUAAUGAAUAAAACGAAUUCAUCUUAAUAAUGUAAUAUAAAGACUCAUACAAUUAAAAAAAAAAUAAUGCACAAAGCAUGUGCUAUCAGACAUUGUCUAAUUUCCAGAAUACGUACCGCCUAAAGAUUUGGCAGUGAGGGUGGGAGUAUUGUUAUUGCAGAAUUUGCACAUUUUUAGCAAUUGUAAACAUUCAUAUUAUCGUAAUGUAUACACAUAUAUCUAAUUCCUCUGGGAAGUAACCACUUUCGCCAAAUCAUACAAAUGUUAAGAUUCAUACAAAAAUUAAGACUCAUACAAAUAUAGAGACUCGUAUAAUUUAGA